ensembl:lncRNA
UUCCUAUGGGGUCUGUGGGGUUCCCUAUGGGGUUUCCUGUGGGGUAAUGGGAGCUAUGGGGUUUCCUAUGGGGUCUGUGGGGUUCCCUAUGGGGUUUCCUGUGGGGUAAUGGGAUCUAUGGGGUUUGCUAUGGGGCCUGUGGGAUUCCCUAUGGGGUUUCCUGUGGGGUAAUGGGAUCUAUGGGGUUUCCUAUGGGGUCUGUGGGGUUCCCUAUGGGGUAAUGGGGGCUAUGGGAUGUGUGGGGUUCCCUAUGGAGUUUCCUAUGGGGUUAUGGGAUCUAUGGGGUUUCCUAUGGGGUCUGUGGGGUUCCCUACAGGGUUUGCUAUGGGGUCUGUGGGGUUUCCUAUGGGGUUCCCUAUGGGGUUAUGGGAUCUAUGGGGUUUGCUGUGGGGUCUGUGAGAUUCCCUAUGGGGUUUCCUGUGGGGUAAUGGGGUCUAUGGGGUUUCCAAUGGGGUCUGUGGGGUUCCCUAUGGGGUUCCCUAUGGGGUUAUGGGAUCUAUGGGGUUUGCUGUGGGGUCUGUGGGAUUCCCUAUGGGGUUUCCUGUGGGGUAUUGGGAUCUAUGGGGUUUGCUAUGGGGUCUGUGGGGUUCCCUAUGGGGUAUCCUAUGGGGUAAUGGGGUCUAUGGGGUUUGCUAUGGGGUCUGUGGGGUUCCCUAUGGGGUUUCCUAUGGGGUAAUGGGGGCUAUGGGAUGUGUGGGGUUCCCUAUGGGGUUUCCUGUGGGGUCUGUGGGGUUCCCUAUGGGGUAUCCUAUGGGGUAAUGGCAGCUAUGGGGUUUCCUAUGGGGUCUGUGGGGUUCCCUAUGGGGUUUCCUAUGGGGUAAUGGGAUCUAUGGGCUUUGCUGUGGGGUUCCCUAUGGGGUUUCGUAUGGGGUAAUGGCAGCUAUGGAGUUUCCUAUGGGGUCUGUGGGGUUUCUUAUGGGGUUUCCUGUGGGGUAAUGGGAUCUAUGGGGUUUGCUGUGGGGUUCCCUAUGGGGUUUUGUAUGGGGUAAUGGCGGCUAUGGGGUUUCCUAUGGGGUCUGUGGGGUUCCCUACAGGGUUUCUUAUGGGGUAAUGGGGGCUGUGGGGUUUCCUAUGGGGUCUGUGGGGUUCCCUAUGGGGUGUCCUAUGGGUUAAUGGGAUCUAUGGGGUUUCCUUUGGGGUCUGUGGGGUUCCCUAUAGGGUUUCUUAUGGGGUUUACAAUGAAUCCUAUGGGGUUUUUCAAUGGAUCUAUGGGGUUUCCGCGGGGGUCUGCGGCGCACCCAAUGGGGACCCCCAAAAAUCCCAUUAUUACGUUCCCCAAAUCCCACUUUUCCCCCCAAAUACCCCCAUAGGAUCCCCAAAACCCACUUUUUCCACCCCAAACCCCAUUCUAUUUCCCUAUUGGGCGCUUUCCCACCCCCAAAACCCCAUAUUCCCACCCUAAGACCCCCAUAUCCCCCCCAAACCCCCAUUUCCCACCCUAAGACCCCCAUAUUUCCACCCUAAGACCCCCAUAUCCCCCCCCACACCCCCAUUUCCCCCCUCACACCCCCAUAUCCCACCUUACGACCCCCAUUUCCCCCCCCACACCCCCAUAUUACCACCCUAAGACCCCCAUAUCCCCCCCCAAAACCCCCAUAUCCCCCCCACACCCCCAUUUCCCACCCCCCAAACCCC